rnacentral:rRNA from 1 species
UAGGGAAUAUUGGGCAAUGGAGGCAACUCUGACCCAGCCAUGCCGCGUGAAGGAUGACGGCCCUAUGGGUUGUAAACUUCUUUUGUACGGGAAAAAACCCAGAUACGUGUAUCUGGUUGAUGGUACCGUAAGAAUAAGGAUCGGCUAACUCCGUGCCAGCAGCCGCGGUAAUACGGAGGAUCCAAGCGUUAUCCGGAUUUAUUGGGUUUAAAGGGUGCGCAGGCGGGAUAAUAAGUCAGUGGUGAAAGCCCUCAGCUUAACUGAGGAACUGCCAUUGAUACUGUUGUUCUUGAGAGUAAUUGAUGUAGGCGGAAUGUGUCAUGUAGCGGUGAAAUGCUUAGAUAUGACACAGAACACCGAUUGCGAAGGCAGCUUACAAAAUUAUUUCUGACGCUCAUGCACGAAAGCGUGGGGAUCAAACAGG